rnacentral:rRNA from 1 species
UAACAAUGAUUCCCCUAGUAACGGCGAGUGAAGAGGGAAAAGCUCAAAGUUGGAACCUGGUAGGCAUAGCUUACCCGGAUUGUAAACUAAAGUUUUCGAGUCGUUUAGUCAGCCAGGUAAAUAAGUCCUCUGGAAAGGGGCGACAUAGAGGGUGAAAUCCCCGUCUUUGGCCUGAGUUUUGAUUAGGCGUUUGGCUUGGAAACGAAGAGUCAGGUUGUUUGGGAAUGCAGCCUAAAAUGGGAGGUAAAUCUCUCCUAAAGCUAAAUAUUGACGAAAGACCGAUAGCGAACAAGUACCGUGAGGGAAAGAUGAAAAGCACUUUGAAAAGAGGGUCAAAAAGUACGUGAAAUUGCUGAAAGGGAACCGUAUGAAAUCAGACCUACUGGUAGGUAAUCAAUCUUUCCUUUGGGAAGGAUGCACUUGCCUACUAUGUAUGCCAGCGACAUUUUGGUUGGGAGGAAAAAAAUAAAGGAAAUGUAGCUUAGGUUUCGGCUUAGGUGUUAUAGUCCUUUAUAAAAUACUCUCGGCUGGAAUGAGGAACGCAGCAAACCGUAAGGCGAAGAUUUCAGGCGCUUAGAGGGAAUAAUUAGAGAAUUUCUGCUUCGGGUGGUGCUUUGAUUAUUACCUUUAACACGCUUGGAGUUCUUUUAAUUUGCUUAGGUUGUUGGCUUAAUGAUUUUAUAUGACCCGUCU